GUAGAACUUGUUCUGCUAGUGGCAAACGGGCGAGUAAUACAUAUUUAACUUACUUUUACGAGGAGGAUAGCAGUUCGAAAGGACUAUUAAUACUCCAUAGGUUUAUAAACUAAAUCAAAGAGGCUCCCUCGGGGGCCUCGCGUGAAAAUAGGAAUAUGUCCUAUUAGGUAGUUGGCGGGGUAAAGGCCCACCAAGCCAGUGAUGGGUAGCUGGACUGAGAGGUUGAACAGCCGCAAUGGGAUUGAGAUAUGGCCCAUAUUCCUACGGGAAGCAGCAGUGAGGAAUUUUUCACAAUGGACGAAAGUCUGAUGGAGCAAUACCACGUGAACGAUGAAGGUCUUCUGAUUGUAAAGUUCUUUUAUUUAGGAAAAAAAGCGCGCUAGGAAAUGAGCGCGCCUUGAUGGUACUAAUUGAAUAAGUGACAGCUAACUAUGUGCCAGCAGCUGCGGUAAAACAUAGGUCACGAGCAUUAUCCGGAUUUAUUGGGCGUAAAGGAAGCGUAGGUGGGGAGGUUGAUCCAUUGUUAAAGGCAUUUGCUUAACAAAUGUGUGCGAUGGAGAUCGCCUCCCUAGAGUUAAUCAGGGGGUACUGGAAUUCAAUGUGUAGCGGUGGAAUGCGUAGAUAUAUUGA
rnacentral:rRNA from 1 species